rnacentral:misc_RNA from 1 species
UCAAAACAGCGGACUUCGGUCCUUGCUGCACCCUUGUCUUUUGCGUACCGUAAUGUUUCCUCGGCGGGCUUGCCUGCCGGUUGGACAUAUCAAACCUUUUUGUAGUUGCAAUCAGCGUCAGAAAAUAAUAAUAUUA